AGAGCGAACGCUGGCGGCAGGCUUAACACAUGCAAGUCGAGCGCCCCGCAAGGGGAGCGGCAGACGGGAGAGUAACACGUGGGAACGUACCCUUUGGUUCGGAACAACCCAGGGAAACUUGGGCUAAUACCGGAUAAGUCCGUAAGGAGAAAGAUUUAUCGCCAAUGGAUCGGCCCGCGUCUGAUUAGCUAGUUGGUGAGGUAAUGGCUCACCAAGGCGACGAUCAGUAGCUGGUCUGAGAGGAUGAUCAGCCUCACUGGGACUGAGACACGGCCCAGACUCCUACGGGAGGCAGCAGUGGGGAAUAUUGGACAAUGGGCGCAAGCCUGAUCCAGCCAUGCCGCGUGGGUGAUGAAGGCCCUAGGGUUGUAAAGCCCUUUCGGCGGGAAGAUAAUGACGGUACCCGCAGAAGAAGCCCCGGCUAACUUCGUGCCAGCAGCCGC
rnacentral:rRNA from 1 species